GGCGGUUGGGCUCGCGCAGUCAGGCCCGUGCAGCGGUUAGUACGUCUGGCGCUCAGUCCGAGAGGCGGCGACAGGAGCGGCGGCCGGAGGGCGGUUAGUGGCUUUCCCCCCCUUCCCCCCCCUCACUAAACCUUUCCUAUUUACCCCUUCCCCUUCCCCCCCUUUUACCCCUGACCCCUUUUCCCCUCCCCCUCCCUUUACCUCUCUCCUUAGGUAUCCCUCGGUCUGGCAGUCGUUGCCCCGAAGGGACGCCGACUAUUGUUCCCGCCGAGCGAUUCCUUUUCCCCCUCCCCCUCUUCCCACCCCCGCCCCUCCUCCCUUUUCCUUUCCCCCCUCACCCCUGUUCCUGAGACCGGGUCCUCGGUCCCUGGGGUGGGGACACGCUCUGGACCUUCACUUGUACCCCCUUCUCCUCUUCGGACCCGCCCCUUGUUUCCUGGCACAGCUCCGGCUCGGCUUACCCUGCACUCCCGGACUUGAAUCAGCAACUGAGAGCAAUACAUCACAAGUCAUUUUCAAAGGAUAAUGUACGUGAAUGUGAAGAGUGUGAAUAUAAGGCAACAGUAGGUAACGCUGCAAUAUCAUCUGGAGACAAAUUGUUAGUACAUUUCUUCCCAAAUCAGAAAACAGCUCCAAGCUUUCUCACAAAAGGUACCACAGCGCUAAUUGAAGUGAAGCAAGAGGUUUCUCCAGGUGCUAGUAAAAUUUACCAUUCAAUGAACGUCUGAAACAGGUAUUUCUUCAACAGAAG